rnacentral:rRNA from 1 species
AUUGAACGCUAGCGGGAUGCUUUACACAUGCAAGUCGAACGAGUGGCGGACGGGUGAGUAAUAUAUCGGAACGUGCCCAGUAGCGGGGGAUAACUACACGAAAGGGUGGCUAAUAUCCCAUACUAUUGGAGCGGCCGAUAUCGGAUUAGCGAGUUGGUGGGGUAAAGGCUCACCAAGGCAACGAGCCGUAGCUGGUUUGCGAGGACGACCAGGCACAUGGUGACUGUGACACGGCCCAGACUCCUACGGGAGGCAGCAGUGGGGAAUUGUGGACAAUGGGGUAAACCCUGAUCCAGCCAUCCCGCGUGUAUGAGAAGGCCUUCGGGUUGGAAAGUACUUUUGGCAGGGAAGCGGUAUCUGCAGAAUAAGCACCGGCUAACUACGUGCCAGCAGCCGCGGUAAUUC